rnacentral:lncRNA from 1 species
CGACUUCUUUGUUUUUCCUAUGAUUUUCCUAUUUUGGCGUAACCCGUAAUUCGUCAUCAAAUGCUGACGCCAUGGUCCUAGCCAGUGCGCGUUUGAGAGGCAUUCACCCCCCUGAUAAUAUUCAAAAUGGCAGAUGUCCAGGGGGGGAAUGCCUUUCAAACCUGCACUGGCUAGGACCAUGGCGUCACCAUUUUGAUGAUGAAUCAUGGCGUGGCAGCGGUCACUCGAGUCGACCUUCUGUGUGCAUUAUUCUGUGAUAUCGUCCUCAGCCUUAAUUAAGAAGUUUUAAGUGAAUGUGAGGUGAAGUUGGUGAACCAUACCCUGGGUGCCAGAGGUUCUUCCACGCUCGUAGGGGGAUAAUGAGGGAUACACGAGGAUUCAAGCUGGGAGGCGGCGAGCGGGAAGAACCACAGGAACACUUCUAUGGUUUCUCAGAUCGAACCGCACCAAUCA